GCAGGUGUGAGAUCUUCACCUUCAUGGCAUCCAGUUCUUCAUCUGGGACCUGUGGGAUUGUGAGGGGUUCGGCCUCUUCUGGGCCCUGGAAGUUUGGCGCAGAGCAGCAGGUCGGUGAAGAGAAAGACGUGUCGCAGUUUCCUGGCGCCCUCCACCAGCUCUACCAUGAAGCUGUCCUUCAGUAACUGGCGAUUCUGUGGAUUGGAAACAAAGACACGCUCAGAGGAUGACAUCACAAACGUUCAGGAGGGAUUACAUCAUCAUCUUCACGUCCUCCCACCAUCCUCUCUUCCUCCACCCCCAACGAUGCAACCCCCUCACCUCCAUCAAGAACACAUACUGUCACCGCCAGAACAUACUGAAAAGAAUAUGGUGUCUGUUUUUUUUUUUUUUCAAUGAAAGCAAAGAGCUGACAAAAGAGCUCCGCCGCAGUGUUCCCACCUGAGGAGGGAGGUCUGGCUGAGACAAAGAGAAUGAGCGUCGUCAUCAUCUUUUGUUGCACCGUGUAAUCUCUGUGACCAUCUUUGCUUGUUUAUCAUUGAAAAGCAAUAAUUGGUCCAAGGAAAAGAUCAGAAUGAAAAUCGGAUGAAAAUCUCGGCUGCGAGGGACAUCGUUUAGAAAAAUGGACUGGACAAAAGCGAACGGGAAAUUGAUUGCAGCAAACAACAUAAAAUGAGGGUCAGCGAGGACUUGGCUCGGACUCAAAAAUCUCGAGAGCAGCUUUUAUUCAUUCCCUGGGUGUCCCACUCACUCAUAAUUUUACGACUCAUCUUUUACACAUCUAGUCUUGAGCCCGAGUCGUGAUAAAUGUAAACGUGAGCUAGUGGGAGGACAAACUUAAAAAAAAAAAAAAAACUAAGAGGAAUGCGGACAGUGUGUACUAAGAAAGCCCGGCUGCAGAGAGCGCAGAUUAAAUAUUGACGUCUCCUGAAGCGGCCUCUCUGAGCGUAUACCCGAGUAAUGGCAUGAAUUUACAAAAUCCACAUGUAUUUUUAGAAUCCAACGCACGCUUGGAGGGACAUCUCUGGGCCCAAGUGUUUAUACAAGCUGGAGCGUGAGUACACGCACGUGCUCGUGACAUAAUAGAGCCAGCCGCUCUGUGUGCAUUUGGGCUUUACGUACACAGAGGGCCACUUCAUUAGGUACACAUCUAAUGCAGUAACAGAAUUUGGCAGCAUCAUCAUUUGGAUUUUAAUGAAGCGUCCUCUCCACUGGCUUCAAACUGGCCAAUAAUUGGCGUCUGUCUAACCUUUAAUAACCUCGGGCAUAUCCAAUACUGUACUCAAGCUACAGUGAGUAGCAAUAUAAUGAGCACCAUUGAUUUCCAUGUGCAGCUUUCAUGUAGCUAUCAUAAAUAUUUGAUGUCUGGUGUGGACAGACCGGGAUGGAAGUGAGUCCAGUAGGAAUACAAAAGGGGGCGGGGCAUGCUGCAAAUGUGUGUGUCUUUGCAGAGGGUGCAGUAAUAACCUGCAUGUAAGAAAUGGGAGGAGCCAUCUCAGUUUUUUUUUUUUUUUCCUUCACCCACUGCUCCCCCCCCUCCAUUUAUGAAUAAUUAAGUAGGGCUCGACCCGCCGGAGCGGCGGCCUGGUGGGUCAUUACCGACAUUAUGUACGGCCGUGUCACGAAAGCUUUCAAUCAAGGAGCAUCCAAUCAUGUGCAUCAAGUCAUGUCAAGGGAUGAUAGACAGCGUUGUGGGAGGGAGCAGUGGGGGGGGGUACGCGCUCGGGAAACCACAAUGGGCAAGUGGAGGAUGAGCCCCCCUUCUCCUUGGAGCAGCCAACCAAAGUGUGACCAUAUAAGGGCAUGAGCGCCGCGUUAGGCUGCAGAUUGGCGACACGCUAGAAGCUAUUCUCGUUUUAAUGGUGAUUUCAAGGUUAUUUGGAGGGCGGGCUUAUGACAUCAUCAGGUCGCACAUAAUUGAAGAGAAGGGAUUUACAAAAAUAGUGGCGGGGGAAGCUAAUGCUUUGAAAUGUCUCACCUCUCCCUUUUUGACAGUCAUCAGCUGGCGGCGGGGUGUGGACUCCUCGUUGAUGCUGGACAGGAAAUUUUGGGAGAUGCGUAGAGCGUCCUGGAGAAGCGGGUGGUCGGGGUGGCUCGUGGGAGUGUGUUUGAGCAAAUCCUGAGGGUG